GAUGAACGCUGGCGGCGUGCCUAAUACAUGCAAGUCGAACGCUUCACUUCGGUGAAGAGUGGCGAACGGGUGAGUAAUACAUAAGUAACCUGGCAUCUACAGGGGGAUAACUGAUGGAAACGUCAGCUAAGACCGCAUAGGUGUAGAGAUCGCAUGAACUCUAUAUGAAAAGUGCUACGGGACUGGUAGAUGAUGGACUUAUGGCGCAUUAGCUUGUUGGUAGGGUAACGGCCUACCAAGGCGACGAUGCGUAGCCGACCUGAGAGGGUGAGCGGCCACACUGGGACUGAGACACGGCCCAGACUCCUACGGGAGGCAGCAGUAGGGAAUUUUCGGCAAUGGGGGAAACCCUGACCGAGCAACGCCGCGUGAAGGAAGAAGUAAUUCGUUAUGUAAACUUCGGUCAUAGAGGAAGAACGGUGGAUAUAGGGAAUGAUAUCCAAGUGACGGUACUCUAUAAGAAAGCCACGGCUAACUACGUG
rnacentral:rRNA from 1 species